rnacentral:rRNA from 1 species
CCUACGGGAGGCAGCAGUGAGGAAUAUUGGUCAAUGGGCGGAAGCCUGAACCAGCCAAGUAGCGUGCGGGAUGAAGGCCCUACGGGUCGUAAACCGCUUUUGCACGGGGAUAACACCCUCCACUUGUGGAGGUCUGCAGGUACCGUGCGAAUAAGGGCCGGCUAAUUCCGUGCCAGCAGCCGCGGUAAUACGGAAGGCCCGAGCGUUAUCCGGAUUCAUUGGGCUUAAAGGGAGCGUAGGCGGGCGUUCAAGUCAGCUGUAAAAUCGCGGGGCGCAAACGCGCCCCGCAGUUGAAACUGGACGCAUUGAGUUCACAACAGGCAGGCGGAAUUCGUGGUGUAGCGGUGAAAUGCAUAGAUAGCACGAGGAACCCCGAUUGCGAAGGCAGCCUGCCGGGGUGCGACUGACGCUGAGGCUCGAAGGUGCGGGUAUCAAACAGGAUUAGAUACCCGAGUAGUC